rnacentral:rRNA from 1 species
AAAAAAUACUGGUCAGUUACUAGUUACCGGACGAGCUCGUAAGCUCUGCCUAUGCCUUCUGCGCCUACAUUUACGAGAAUCGGUGGCAGGGUUGGCCCGUUGUGUUUCAGAACGAAGUCAGACGCGGAUCAGGAUCGUCCAGCGCUUAAAGCGGCCAAGAUAACAACAAGAGAUUAAUAGAAGCUCGUCUAGUGAUCGUCCGUGGCUGCCUAAACCUCGUCGAGACUAGAAAUCGCCGGUACCAGUUCUUUCCUUAGGUCAUACAGCACCACCUACGGAAGUGCCGGGUCGGCAAGUUCCCGUUGGGCCGCCGCCACACGAAGGACCUCCUGCUGCGCCGGCGGGGGCGCCCCCUGCCCGCCACCUACGUCAGGCAGCGGCAGCUCAAGUUGGAGAGGGUCUGCCGGAAGAAGAGGGCACUGAGCAGGACGCGUCGGCUGCGGUGGUGCGGCGCCAAGGUGGAGGCGACCAAGUGGGGGCAGUGGCUCCAGCGCGAGACGCCGGUGCGUUGCGACCGGUGGCGGGUGAAGGAGAAGUGCAGACAGGAGCGCCUCGCGGUACCGCACCAACUCAAGCGCUGGUUCAGGCCCCAGGACUGGCGGUUCUUCCAAGGACGUGGCCUCCGCCUCCUCGUCCCCUUCGACAAGUAACUCGACCUGAAGGGGUACUCACUAAUACACCCAACGCUAGGGCGGCUGCUCGACGGCAGGUAGGGCCUCUGCGAGUUGCCGCGCGGGCAGCAGUCACAAGUGUUUAGUCACCGGUGGUUGCUGAAGUAACAACUUGAAAGUAGUCCUUUUCUCCAGCGGCUACAGGAAGGAUUGUAGCUUCUUUAUUCUUUCACACGGCCGUCUCCACACUAACAAUGUCGUGGCCGCGGACGACCUAGCCCAAUACUGAAGAAGUGUGCGAAGAAGACGGGUUUUAAACCCUAACUACUCCUAGGGCAUACACCGUCACGUGUGACACAAAACCGUGGGAUGACCCCACCUUUCGACCCCUUCGUUUUUGACUAUCGCAAAGUCCAUAGAGGUUCCUCACCCCGUGAUAUGGACCUCGACCUACAACGCUUAGUCGCUCACGCCUAAGUCCCUCUUCGACAAUGACAGUACCGACCCUGUGAGAAGCGAAUCGAUCGUAUAACUGGUAGGUAACUGAACGAGAUACUUGAACCCUCUUUAUUUAUAUAAACGACGAUAGGUGACCAGAUUAUUAGCUAACUGGCCAAAUACCUUAUUUUUACUUAAUAGACUUGUUACAGUGCGUUUUGUUC